rnacentral:rRNA from 1 species
CGGCGUAAAGAGUGGUUAUGGAGUCCUUACACUAAAGCCGAAAGCCCCUUAAACUGUCAUACGCACCCAGGGGCCAGAAUCCCACCGCACGAAAGUAGCUUUAUUAACGCCCACCAGAACCCACGACAGCUAGGACACAAACUGGGAUUAGAUACCCCACUAUGCCUAGCCAUAAACCCAGAUGCCAUCGUACAAUUAGCAUCCGCCCGGGAACUACGAGCACCAGCUUAAAACCCAAAGGACUUGGCGGUGCCUCAGACCCCCCUAGAGGAGCCUGUUCUAGAACCGAUAAUCCCCGUUAAACCUCACCACCUCUUGCCCCUUCCGCCUAUAUACCACCGUCGCCAGCUUACCCUGUGAAGGAAAUAAAGUAAGCAAAAUGGAAACUUUCCAAAACGUCAGGUCGAGGUGUAGCAAACGAAGUGGGAAGAAAUGGGCUACAUUGCCUGGCUCAGGCUACUCACGGAAAGUCACCUGAAACGGUAACUCAAAGGUGGAUUUAGCAGUAAAAAGGGAAUAGAGUGCCCUUUUGAAGCCGGCUCUGAGGCGCGCACACACCGCCCGUCACUCUCCCCAACAACCAUUUUCCCAAGUAAAUAACACUACAUAACUAUAUAAGGGGAGGCAAGUCGUAACAUGGUAAGUGUACC